UAGACAAGAAUAUGGCUCGCUCACUUGUCUCAAUGAUUUCGCUGAAUGUGAUCCUUGCACUAGCAGCCAUGGUCAUUGUUCUAUUUUCUCUUGGUGUUAGCAGCAAACUGCCGCCCACUUGUUAUGGAGCAUGCGCUGAAUUUCCUGACUGUACUGCCCACUGCAAAAUUUUAGGCUUACUGACAGGGAAAUGCCUUCAAGAUUUCUGCUGUUGCUUUGGUUAAGAAUUUUUCUUGAUAUGGUUGUAAACAAACAAUGUAUUUUCUUGAAUGAUUAUUAGUUUCAUUGCUGGAAAUAAAAAGCAUUAUGAGAA